AGUGGCGGACGGGUGAGUAACGCGUGAGAAUCUGCCUUGGGGUCGGGGACAACCACUGGAAACGGUGGCUAAUACCGGAUACGCCUUCGGGUAAAAGAUUUAUUGCCCUAAGAGGAGCUCGCGUCUGAUUAGCUAGUUGGUGAGGUAAGAGCUCACCAAGUCAGCGAUCAGUAGCUGGUCUGAGAGGACGAUCAGCCACACUGGGACUGAGACACGGCCCAGACUCCUACGGGAGGCAGCAGUGGGGAAUUUUCCGCAAUGGGCGAAAGCCUGACGGAGCAAGACCGCGUGAGGGAGGAAGGCUCUUGGGUUGUAAACCUCUUUUCUCAGGGAAGAAGCUCUGACGGUACCUGAGGAAUCAGCCUCGGCUAACUCCGUGCCAGCAGCCGCGGUAAUACGGAGGAGGCAAGCGUUAUCCGGAAUUAUUGGGCGUAAAGCGUCCGCAGGUGGCGAUUCAAGUCUGCUGUCAAAGCACGGGGCUUAACUCCGUAAAGGCAGUGGAAACUGAAUAGCUAGAGUGCCGUAGGGGUAGAGGGAAUUCCCGGUGUAGCGGUGAAAUGCGUAGAGAUCGGGAAGAACAUCGGUGGCGAAAGCGCUCUACUGGACGGCAACUGACACUCAGGGACGAAAGCUAGGGGAGCGAAUGGGAUUAGAUACCCC
rnacentral:rRNA from 1 species